AUUGAACGCUGGCGGCAGGCCUAACACAUGCAAGUCGAGCGGGGUUUUCGGACCUAGCGGCGGACGGGUGAGUAAUGCGUAGGAAGCUACCCGAUAGAGGGGGAUACCAGUUGGAAACGACUGUUAAUACCGCAUAAUGUCUACGGACCAAAGUGUGGGACCUUCGGGCCACAUGCUAUCGGAUGCGCCUAAGUGGGAAUAGCUAGUUGGUGAGGUAAUGGCUCACCAAGGCGACGAUCCCUAGCUGGUUUGAGAGGAUGAUCAGCCACACUGGAACUGAGACACGGUCCAGACUCCUACGGGAGGCAGCAGUGGGGAAUAUUGGACAAUGGGUGCAAGCCUGAUCCAGCCAUGCCGCGUGUGUGAAGAAGGCCUUCGGGUUGUAAAGCACUUUCAGUAGGGAGGAAGCGUUGUGUGUUAAUAGUACACAGCGUUGACGUUACCUACAGAAGAAGCACCGGCUAACUCCGUGCCAGCCGCCGCGGUAAGAC
rnacentral:rRNA from 1 species